AUGGAGGUUGAUUGUCAGGAUUUGGUUAACCUCUGGAAGUCGCGCGGCAACUCUAGAUCGGUUGCAGCACCUAUCUUGAACGAGUUAGAGGAGAUUAGUGCUAGUUUUGCUUCUUUCUCUGUUACCCAUGUCAGUAGGGAGAUUAAUAUUCCGGCUCACCUUUGUGCAAGAUUAGCCAGCAUAGUAGAGUGGACGGAGAGCUGGCUCGAUGUGAGUCCUGAAUUCCUCCAUCCCUGCCUACGGACGGAUUGUAACACUAUGAUUAUCAGUUAA
rnacentral:rRNA from 1 species